GAUGAACGCUGGCGGCGUGCUUAACACAUGCAAGUCGAACGGUGAAAGCGGAGCUUGCUCUGCUGGAUCAGUGGCGAACGGGUGAGUAACACGUGAGCAAUCUGCCCUUGACUCUGGGAUAAGCGCUGGAAACGGCGUCUAAUACCGGAUACGAGCUGCGAAGGCAUCUUCAGCAGCUGGAAAGAACUUCGGUCAAGGAUGAGCUCGCGGCCUAUCAGCUUGUUGGUGAGGUAACGGCUCACCAAGGCGUCGACGGGUAGCCGGCCUGAGAGGGUGACCGGCCACACUGGGCCUGAGACACGGCCCAGACUCCUACGGGAGGCAGCAGUGGGGAAUAUUGCACAAUGGGCGCAAGCCUGAUGCAGCAACGCCGCGUGAGGGACGACGGCCUUCGGGUUGUAAACCUCUUUUAGCAGGGAAGAAGCGAAAGUGACGGUACCUGCAGAAAAAGCACCGGCUAACUACGUGCCAGCAGCCGCGGUAA
rnacentral:rRNA from 1 species